UGUGUCACUGGGGUUAUGCUUUG
rnacentral:miRNA from 1 species